AGUGAACGCUGGCGGUAGGCCUAACACAUGCAAGUCGAACGGCAGCACAGGAGAGCUUGCUCUCUAGGUGGCGAGUGGCGGACGGGUGAGGAAUACAUCGGAAUCUGCCCAGUCGUGGGGGAUAACGUAGGGAAACUUACGCUAAUACCGCAUACGACCUUCGGGUGAAAGAGGGGGAUCGCAAGACCCCUCGCGAUUGGAUGAGCCGAUGUCGGAUUAGCUAGUUAGCGGGGUAAUGGCCCACCAAGGCGACGAUCCGUAGCUGGUCUGAGAGGAUGAUCAGCCACACUGGAACUGAGACACGGUCCAGACUCCUACGGGAGGCAGCAGUGGGGAAUAUUGGACAAUGGGCGCAAGCCUGAUCCAGCCAUACCGCGUGGGUGAAGAAGGCCUUCGGGUUGUAAAGCCCUUUUGUUGGGAAAGAAAUCUUUCAGGCUAAUACCCUGGGAGGAUGACGGUACCCAAAGAAUAAGCACCGGCUAACUUCGUG
rnacentral:rRNA from 1 species